ACUCCCUCUAAUCGACAUUCUUCCCUCAGUGUGACUGAAACAAUGCCACUUUAUUUGGCAUAAUCAAUGACACAAGAGCCGAGGUCCACCAGCAUAUCCUGCCUCAUAAUAAUGCUGUCACAGAAUGAUGCAGUUUCCUUUGAGAUUGUUGUAAUUUAAAUGGGAAAAGUCUGAGCCAAGAUUCUCGAUACCUCUUACACUCUCUGUUCUAUUAAUUAUUAGACAUCAACACUCAGGUUUAGACUGACAAAACCAUGAGUCGAGAGCGCAUUUCCACACAUUUAAGAAAGAAGCACAUCAAACUUGUCUUAAAAUGAAGGACUUUUAUUACUGGUUUUAAUCAAACACUAACUGUGAACUGGAGAGAAUUUAUCUAUAAGCUCAGAUGAAUGUGAAUCUGGUGAUGUUUAAGGUAGGGUCCAAAAUUAUAAACUGGUUUUAGCUGGUUUCCCAGCCUGACCAGAUAAAAAAGUUGUCAAAAAAACUCUAAAACCAGCCUGCAAAGCAGCUAUUAGAAGGCUGGAAGAGCAGCUAAAACCAGCCAUACAACUUAUAUAUAUAUUUCCUUAAACAGAAAUAAAGCAGUUUAUGGCCAUUAGGAAAUAUUUGUGGCCAUAAAAAUUGAGAGGUGUGUCAUAAAGUUAAUUUUUGACCCUGCUUCCUAGUGUCUCAGUAGAUCUGCUAGUAUGUUUUGAAAUGUGUAUGAUGCUUUAGGACACAUUUGCAGGGGAAACGUCCAAGUCUAUAUGAAGCAGGUUUUGCGCUCAUAAAAAAUGGUAUUUGAAUAUAAAGGACAAUUCAGCCUUCUAGAGCUCUUUAGCGGCACUGAAAACAGUCGGACCAGGAGAUCUUCCGUAUUCUCUCUGUGAAGAAUGUCUUUGACUUCACACUGCAGGAUCUGAGCAGUUUAAUGCUCUCUCACACAAAGCAGAAGACACCAUGAGAUCCAUUCAGUGCAAAUUCUACCGGAGGGCGUGGAACGUGUGAGUGUGUGUGUGUGUGUGUGUGUGUGUGUGUGUGUGUGUGAGAAGAGGAACCACUCAUGCGGGCACAGGAGAACUGAGAUUCUAACUGAAAAUUUGGUUGCAUGGUGAGUUGCUGCUGACCCAUAUUUUUCAGCCAUUGCUGCAUUUAAAUUUUAUUUUCAGAGGAACUGAGAACCGUAUUGAAAAGAACACAGUUGAAACAGCUGUUGUGAGGUUUAAAGAGGCAUUCACUGAUCACACACUUUUCUUUUAAUGUGUUGAUGUGUAAACAUCACUAAUUAAAAAUUAGAUUUUG
rnacentral:lncRNA from 1 species